UACGUAGGUGGCAAGCGUUGUCCGGAAUUAUUGGGCGUAAAGCGCGCGCAGGCGGUUCCUUAAGUCUGAUGUGAAAGCCCACGGCUCAACCGUGGAGGGUCAUUGGAAACUGGGGAACUUGAGUGCAGAAGAGGAGAGUGGAAUUCCACGUGUAGCGGUGAAAUGCGUAGAGAUGUGGAGGAACACCAGUGGCGAAGGCGACUCUCUGGUCUGUAACUGACGCUGAGGCGCGAAAGCGUGGGGAGCGAACAGG
rnacentral:rRNA from 1 species